UAGAUCUCAUCUUCCACGAUGGUCCCGUCCUCUUCCAGAACCACUUUGACGGGAGCGUCCGGACCGAUGGGAAGAGACUCGCCACCUGGGCAGGAAACGGAAAACACAUUUCCUCCAUUGAGCUCGUCAGCAAGCAGUGCUCGCUGAUCUGUUGUCCUGGGUCAGAAAAAGCAAUCGAUUGCGACGUCAUCGAACGACUCAAGCAAAGAGAAGGAAGAUGGCCUCCACUGAUCAACUUGAUCCACUGGCUCAGUCUGGCCUUCCCCCUGGUGACGAAAGGCCUGCUUUUCCAAGAGAAGCUUUGAUUACCACUGCUGUGAAAUUUCUGCAAAACCCGAAGGUGCGCCAGAGUCCACUGGCCACGCGAAGAGUCUUCUUGAAGAAAAAAGGUAAGAGUGAAAGUAUUCUGUUGGUGCCA